AUCCAGCUGACGAGUCCCAAAUAGAAUGAAACGCUCGUUUAAACUGUAU
rnacentral:hammerhead_ribozyme from 1 species